rnacentral:rRNA from 1 species
UACGAUGGGAGCUAGCGUUGCUCGGAAUUACUGGGCGUAAAGCGCACGUAGGCGGCUUUCUAAGUCGGGGGUGAAAUCCUGGAGCUCAACUCCAGAACUGCCUUCGAUACUGGAAGACUUGGGUCCGGGAGAGGUGAGUGGAACUGCGAGUGUAGAGGUGAAAUUCGUAGAUAUUCGCAAGAACACCAGUGGCGAAGGCGGCUCACUGGCCCGGUACUGACGCUGAGGUGCGAAAGCGUGGGGAGCAAACAGG